GAUGAACGCUGGCGGCGUGCCUAAUACAUGCAAGUCGAGCGAACGGACGAGAAGCUUGCUUCUCUGAUGUUAGCGGCGGACGGGUGAGUAACACGUGGAUAACCUACCUAUAAGACUGGGAUAACUUCGGGAAACCGUAGCUAAUACCGGAUAAUAUUUUGAACCGCAUGGUUCAAAAGUGAAAGACGGUCUUGCUGUCACUUAUAGAUGGAUCCGCGCUGCAUUAGCUAGUUGGUAAGGUAACGGCUUACCAAGGCAACGAUGCAUAGCCGACCUGAGAGGGUGAUCGGCCACACUGGAACUGAGACACGGUCCAGACUCCUACGGGAGGCAGCAGUAGGGAAUCUUCCGCAAUGGGCGAAGGCCUGACGGAGCAACGCCGCGUGAGUGAUGAAGGUCUUCGGAUCGUAAAACUCUGUUAUUAGGGAAGAACAUAUGUGUAAGUAACUGUGCACAUCUUGACGGUACCUAAUCAGAAAGCCACGGCUAACUACGU
rnacentral:rRNA from 1 species